GAGGGGACUGGGGGGUCCCUCAGCCCAGAUUGUGAGAAGGCACAGGCCAGGCUGAGGGAACCCACUGGUGCAUG
rnacentral:pre_miRNA from 1 species